ensembl:snRNA U6 U6 spliceosomal RNA
GGACUUUGGUAGCACAUGUACUAAAACUGGAGUGAUAUAGAGGAUAUUAGCCCGGCCCCUGUACAGGGGUGACAUGCAAAUUUGUGAAGCAUUCCACAUUUUA